rnacentral:rRNA from 1 species
UACGGAGGGUGCAAACGUUGCUCGGAAUCAUUGGGCGUAAAGCGCACGUAGGCGGCGAAGCAAGUUGGGUGUGAAAGCCCUGGGCUCAACCCAGGAAGUGCAUUCAAAACUGCUUCGCUUGAAUCUCGGAGGGGGUCAGAGAAUUCCCGGUGUAGAGGUGAAAUUCGUAGAUAUCGGGAGGAAUACCAGUGGCGAAGGCGGCGAUCUGGGAAGAUACUGACGCUGAGGUGCGAAAGCGUGGGGAGCAAACAGG